UACGUAGGGGGCAAGCGUUGUCCGGAAUCAUUGGGCGUAAAGCGCGUGUAGGCGGCCCGGUAAGUCCGCUGUGAAAGUCGGGGGCUCAACCCUCGGAAGCCGGUGGAUACUGUCGGGCUCGAGUACGGAAGAGGCGAGUGGAAUUCCUGGUGUAGCGGUGAAAUGCGCAGAUAUCAGGAGGAACACCAAUUGCGAAGGCAGCUCGCUGGGACGUAACUGACGCUGAGACGCGAAAGCGUGGGGAGCAAACAGG
rnacentral:rRNA from 1 species